AGUGAACGCUGGCGGCGUGCUUAACACAUACAAGUCGAACGGAUGAAAUAAGCUUGCUUAUUUCGUUAGUGGCGCACGGGUGAGUAAUGUAUAGCUAACCUGCCCUUUAGUGGGGGACAACAGUUGGAAACGACUGCUAAUACCCCAUAUUCCUUCUUAUCACAAGGUAAGUUGGGAAAGAUUUAUUGCUAAAGGAUGGGGCUUUAUGGUGUCAGCUAGUUGGUGGGGUAACGGCCUACCAAGGCUAUGACGCCUACCUGGUCUGAGAGGAUGAUCAGGCACACUGGAACUGAGACACGGUCCAGACUCCUACGGGAGGCAGCAGUGGGGAAUAUUGCACAAUGGAGGAAACUCUGAUGCAGCAACGCCGCGUGGAGGAUGACGCAUUUCGGUGUGUAAACUCCUUUUAUAAGGGAAGAUAAUGACGGUACCUUAUGAAUAAGCACCGGCUAACUCCGUGCCAGCAGCCGCCGUAA
rnacentral:rRNA from 1 species